CUAAUUAAGAAAAAUGCAACAUUAAACUACCAUUUUCCCAUUGUUUUCCUGUCUCAAAAUAAAAUUAAAAGACUUGCCUGAUAUUGAUGUUGAUUCUUGAAGUUCUUAUAUAGUCUAGGAAACAACGAUCGUCUUCAUCCAAGAACUGG